GAAUGUUGACCUCGAAUCAGGUAGGAAUACCCGCUGAACUUAAGCAUAUCAAUAGUCCAGAAGAAUGAU
rnacentral:rRNA from 1 species